CCUACGGGUGGCAGCAGUAGGGAAUAUUGCUCAAUGGGGGAAACCCUGAAGCAGCAACGCCGCGUGGAGGAUGAAGGUUUUCGGAUUGUAAACUCCUUUUGUUAGAGAAGAUAAUGACGGUAUCUAACGAAUAAGCACCGGCUAACUACGUGCCAGCAGCCGCGGUAAUACGGAGGGUGCCAGCGUUACUCGGAAUCACUGGGCGUAAAGAGCGCGUAGGCGGGAUAGCAAGUCAGAUGUGAAAUCCUAUGGCUUAACCGUAGAACUGCAUUUGAAUCUGUUAUUCUAGAGUAUGGGAGAGGUAGGUGGAAUUCGUGGUGUAGGGGUGAAAUGCGUAGAGAUCAAGAGGAACACUCAUUGCGAAGGCGACCUGCUAGAACGUAACUGACGCUGAUGCUCGAAAGCGUGGGGAGCAAACAGGAUUAGAUACCCGAGUAGUC
rnacentral:rRNA from 1 species